GAUGAACGCUAGCUACAGGCUUAACACAUGCAAGUCGAGGGGCAUCAGGAAGAAAGCUUGCUUUCUUUGCUGGCGACCGGCGCACGGGUGAGUAACACGUAUCCAACCUGCCCUUUACUCGGGAUAGCCUUUCGAAAGAAAGAUUAAUACCCGAUAGCAUAAUGAUUCCGCAUGGUUUCAUUAUUAAAGGAUUCCGGUAAAGGAUGGGGAUGCGUUCCAUUAGGUUGUUGGUGAGGUAACGGCCCACCAAGCCUUCGAUGGAUAGGGGUUCUGAGAGGAAGGUCCCCCACAUUGGAACUGAGACACGGUCCAA
rnacentral:rRNA from 1 species